GCUAGGCCCCAAAAUGAUGGCUAAGUGACAAAGGAAGUGGGAAGGCGGAAACAACCAGGAGGUUUGCUUAGAAGCAGCAAUCCUUAAAAGAGUGCGUAAUAGCUCACUGGUCGAGCAGUCUUGCGCCGAAAAUUAGCGGGACUAAGUCAUCUGCCGAAGCCGUGGGAUAAUUAAACUAAUUAUCGGUAGGGGAGCGUUCUGCGGUAGAGUGAAGAUUUAGCGAAAGCGGAGUUGGACGAAACAGAAGUGAGAAUGUCGGCUUGAGUAGCGAAAACAUUGGUGAGAAUCCAAUGCCCCGAAAACCUAAGGAUUCCUUCGGAAGGCUCGUCCGCGAAGGGUUAGUCAGGACCUAAGGCGAGGCCGAAAGGCGUAGUCGAUGG
rnacentral:rRNA from 1 species